rnacentral:rRNA from 1 species
UGAGGAAUAUUGGUCAAUGGGCGCAAGCCUGAACCAGCCAAGUAGCGUGCAGGAAGACGGCCCUAUGGGUUGUAAACUGCUUUUAUACGAGAAUAAUUUGAUGCACGUGCGCGUUAUUGCAUGUAUCGUAUGAAUAAGGACCGGCUAAUUCCGUGCCAGCAGCCGCGGUAAUACGGAAGGUCCAGGCGUUAUCCGGAUUUAUUGGGUUUAAAGGGAGUGUAGGCGGUUUGUUAAGCGUGUUGUGAAAUUUAGGUGCUCAACAUUUAACUUGCAGCGCGAACUGUCAGACUUGAGUACACGCAACGUAUGCGGAAUUCAUGGUGUAGCGGUGAAAUGCUUAGAUAUCAUGAAGAACUCCGAUUGCGAAGGCAGCAUACGGGAGUGUAACUGACGCUUAAGCUCGAAGGUGCGGGUAUCGAACAGGAUUAGAUACCCUGGUAGUCCGCACAGUAAACGAUGGAUGCCCGCUGUUAGCGCCUGGCGUUAGCGGCUAAGCGAAAGCAUUAAGCAUCCCACCUGGGGAGUACGCCGGCAACGGUG